GCCCUUGUAGUUUAAAUAAAAAUUUUAAUUUUGUAAAUUAAAGAUGCCACCCAAGGGCA
rnacentral:tRNA from 1 species